rnacentral:tRNA from 1 species
GCCUCCGUGGCCUAAUGGAUAAGGCAUCGGCCUCCUAAGCCGGGGAUUGUGGGUUCGAGUCCCGUCGGAGGUG